rnacentral:rRNA from 1 species
UACGGAGGGAGCUAGCGUUAUUCGGAAUUACUGGGCGUAAAGCGUACGUAGGCGGCUUUGCAAGUUAGAGGUGAAAGCCUGGAGCUCAACUCCAGAACUGCCUUUAAAACUGCAUCGCUUGAAUCCAGGAGAGGUGAGUGGAAUUCCGAGUGUAGAGGUGAAAUUCGAUAGAUAUUCGGAAGAACACCAGUGGCGAAGGCGGCUCACUGGACUGGUAUUGACGCUGAGGUACGGAAAGCGUGGGGAGCAAACAGGGAU